rnacentral:lncRNA from 1 species
CCCAGUUACAGAAGUUAAGCUCACAGGUCUAUAAUUUCCAGGCAAGGAUUUUGAACCCUUUUUAAAUAUAGGAACAACAUCUGCCUUCCUCCAAUCCUCCGGUACAACACCUGAAACAAAAGAAUCUUGAAAAAUUAAAUACAGAGGUUCACUUAUUUCCCCACUUAGCGCCUUAAGUACUCGUGGGUGAAUACUGUCAGGCCCGGGAGCUUUAUUUACAUUAAUUUUCUUUAAUAGCUGUAGCACCUUGUCUCGAGUUAUCCAAUCACAAGUUAUUUGCAAGUUUUUUGCAGCAAUCAUUUGCAUAUCUCUUGCCAUAGG